GACGAACGCUGGCGGCGUGCCUAAUACAUGCAAGUUGAGCGCUGAAGGUUGGUAUUUGUACCAACUGGAUGAGCAGCGAACGGGUGAGUAACGCGUGGGGAAUCUGCCUUUGAGCGGGGGACAACAUUUGGAAACGAAUGCUAAUACCGCAUAAAAACUUUAAACACAAGUUUUAAGUUUGAAAGAUGCAAUUGCAUCACUCAAAGAUGAUCCCGCGUUGUAUUAGCUAGUUGGUGAGGUAAAGGCUCACCAAGGCGAUGAUACAUAGCCGACCUGAGAGGGUGAUCGGCCACAUUGGGACUGAGACACGGCCCAAACUCCUACGGGAGGCAGCAGUAGGGAAUCUUCGGCAAUGGACGAAAGUCUGACCGAGCAACGCCGCGUGAGUGAAGAAGGGUUUCGGAUCGUAAAACUCUGUUGGUAGAGAAGAACGUUGGUGAGAGUGGAAAGCUCAUCAAGUGACGGUAACUACCCAGAAAGGGACGGCUAACUACGUG
rnacentral:rRNA from 1 species